rnacentral:miRNA from 1 species
GGGUAGAUGAAAGGGGAGGAUGGGAGGGAGAAGUAACAAAAGUGAAAAACAAAAUUAAAAACUGAAAUCUAUUUGAAAUUGUUUUCACUUUUGUUACUCUCCUCCUUCCCAUCCUCCCUUCCCAUCCUCUCU